AGUCGAGCGGACUGAUGGRGAGCUUGCUCCCCUGACGUCAGCGGCGGACGGGUGAGUAACACGUGGGCAACCUGCCUCACAGAUUGGGAUAACUCCGGGAAACCGGGGCUAAUACCGAAUAAUCAAAGGAACCGCAUGGUUCCCUUGUAAAAGUUGGGUUUUACCUAACACUGUGAGAUGGGCCCGCGGCGCAUUAGCUAGUUGGUGAGGUAGUGGCUCACCAAGGCGACGAUGCGUAGCCGACCUGAGAGGGUGAUCGGCCACACUGGGACUGAGACACGGCCCAGACUCCUACGGGAGGCAGCAGUAGGGAAUCAUCCGCAAUGGACGAAAGUCUGACGGUGCAACGCCGCGUGAGUGAUGACGGUCUUCGGAUUGUAAAGCUCUGUUGUUAGGGAAGAACAAGUGCCGUUCAAAUAGGGCGGCACCUUGACGGUACCUAACCAGAAAGCCCCGGCUAACUACGUGCCAGCAGCCGCGGUAAUACGUAGGGGGCAAGCGUUGUCCGGAAUUAUUGGGCGUAAAGCGCGCGCAGGCGGUUCCUUAAGUCUGAUGUGAAAGCCCACGGCUCAACCGUGGAGGGUCAUUGGAAACUGGGGAACUUGAGUGUAGGAGAGGAAAGUGGAAUUCCAAGUGUAGCGGUGAAAUGCGUAGAUAUUUGGAGGAACACCAGUGGCGAAGGCGACUUUCUGGCCUACAACUGACGCUGAGGCGCGAAAGCGUGGGGAGCAAACAGGAUUAGAUACCCUGGUAGUCCACGCCGUAAACGAUGAGUGCUAGGUGUUAGGGGUUUCGAUACCCUUAGUGCCGAAGUUAACACAUUAAGCACUCCGCCUGGGGAGUACGGUCGCAAGACUGAAACUCAAAGGAAUUGACGGGGGCCCGCACAAGCAGUGGAGCAUGUGGUUUAAUUCGAAGCAACGCGAAGAACCUUACCAGGUCUUGACAUCCUCUGACAACCCUAGAGAUAGGGCGUUCCCCUUCGGGGGACAGAGUGACAGGUGGUGCAUGGUUGUCGUCAGCUCGUGUCGUGAGAUGUUGGGUUAAGUCCC
rnacentral:rRNA from 1 species